UAGAUUCAGUCAACCAUUACUCAAACCCUAAUCAAAUUAAGUAAAUGAUAAUUUGAUCAACCUAAAUUAAACAUGAUUUUCAAUCAAAUUAGAACUAUGAAUUUGAUUUAAUCUAUAAUCAUUAAUUCUAAUCAUAUUAGAAUAUUGAAUUAUAGUUAAACAAAUUCAUCGGCAAAAAUUCUAAUAUAUAUCUGAUGCUUCCUUUUCAUUAUCAAAUUUUUUCGGCUCCACACAUACCUCGGGCAACAACCAAGAUGGUCAACCCACAAAGGUGAGUGCCCAAUAACAUGGUGGUCGGCCCUUGGAUCUUAGGUAGAUGCAUCAAAUGCAAGAACCCUAACUCUUGGUAAUGUACAUCCAUAUAUAUCAUUCCAAGGCUACGCACAUCACAUGAACCAGAUUUCAAUUUCAUCAAAAAUUAGAUUAUGAGAUCUAACUUAAACUUGUCUCACAAGUCUAAAGAUCAUGGAAUUUUAUAUCCAAGAUUUGAUUAUGGAUUGAUAAUAUUUAUCAUCAAUAAAAGUACAUCAUAAAUAUUAAUUAAACAUCAAUCAGAAAAUCUGAUUUUGACAUAAUAUGAACUGGAUCUAAUCCAUAUCACAACAAUAACAUGAAAUUUGAUUGAAUCAAUCAAGGGUGGCUCUGAUACCACUGUUGGAUUUCGGUGAUGUAGUGAAAUAUAAAUUUCAAAAAUUUUUACAUACAUUCAACAAUUGAAAACAAGUUUAACAUUUAAACUAGACUACCGGAACACAAAAGUCUUAAGAACACCUUGAUGAUUGCAAUCAAAUAACAUAAGCAUAUAUAAUAAGAAGAGAUCAGAAGCCAUAUACCAAUAUGAAGAUCACGAAC
rnacentral:lncRNA from 1 species